rnacentral:lncRNA from 1 species
GUGGGGGAGGGGUUAAACAUCCCAGCAUAAUUGUUGAAGGCAUAGUAAGGUUGUGAAGUGGUUUUUAUUUCACACCAGCAUAACAUGAAGCAAUUGGUAUCCUCUUUUGUUAAAAAAGGUCUUGAGUUCAAAUAAUCUUGGGUUGAUGCAAGAACCAUGAGUUACUGAACGUUUUGGAAGUUUUGUGUCUUCUUUUAUAAAUAAACUUGAUAAGUUGAUGUAGAAAUUUAUGCAUGC